rnacentral:rRNA from 1 species
GGCUCAGGACGAACGCUGGCGGCGCGCCUAACACAUGCAAGUCGAGCGAGAACCGGGACUUCGGUCCCGGGGGCAGCGGCGAACGGGUGCGUAACACGUGAGCAACCUGCCCCGAAGACCGGGACAACCCGAGGAAACUCGGGCUAAUACCGGAUGCCCUCACCGGAUCGCAUGGUCCGGCGAGGAAAUGGAUUCCGCUUCGGGAUGGGCUCGCGGUCUAUCAGCUUGUUGGUGGGGUAACGGCUCACCAAGGCGACGACGGAUAGCUGGUCCGAGAGGACGAUCAGCCACACUGGGACUGAGACACGGCCCAGACUCCUACGGGAGGCAGCAGUGGGGAAUCUUGCGCAAUGGGGGAAACCCUGACGCAGCGACGCCGCGUGCGGGAUGAAGGCCUUCGGGUUGUAAACCGCUUUCAGCAGGGACGAAAUUGACGGUACCUGCAGAAGAAGGCCCGGCCAACUACGUGCCAGCAGCCGCGGUAAUACGUAGGGGCCUAGCGUUGUCCGGAUUUAUUGGGCGUAAAGAGCUCGUAGGCGGUUCGGUAAGUCAGGUGUGAAAUCUCCACGCUCAACGUGGAGGCGCCACCUGAAACUGCCGUGACUCGAGUCCGGUAGGGGAGUGUGGAAUUCCCGGUGUAGCGGUGAAAUGCGCAGAUAUCGGGAGGAACACCAGUAGCGAAGGCGGCACUCUGGGCCGGUACUGACGCUGAGGAGCGAAAGCGUGGGGAGCGAACAGGAUUAGAUACCCUGGUAGUCCACGCCGUAAACGUUGGGCACUAGGUGUGGGACUCUAUCGACGGGUUCCGUGCCGUAGCUAACGCAUUAAGUGCCCCGCCUGGGG